rnacentral:rRNA from 1 species
GGCCUUUUGAUUAUAAUUUAAGGUCGGACCUGCCCAAUGAGGAGUUAAAUGGCCGCAGUAUUCUGACUGUGCAAAGGUAGCAUAAUCAAUAGUUUUUUAAUUGAAAGCUGGAAUGAAAGGUUUGAUGAGAAAAUCACUGUCUCUAUUAAAAUUUAUUAGAAUUUUAUUUUUAAGUAAAAAAGCUUAAAUAAGUAUAAAAGACGAGAAGACCCUAUAGAAUUUUAUAAUUAGAAAAAUGGGAUGGCAUAUAGAAUCAUAAAAUUUUAUUUUGAUAAUUAUUUAGUUGGGGUGAUUAAAAAAUUUAAUAAACUUUUUUUUUAUAAAUAUACUGAUAAGUAAAUAAUUGAGCCUUGUAAAAGAUUAAAAGAUUAAAUUACCUUAGGGAUAACAGCGUAAUUUUUUUUAGAGUUCUUAUCGAAAAAGAAGAUUGCGACCUCGAUGUUGGAUUAAAAUUUAUUAUUGGUGUAGGAGCUAAUAUAUUUGGUCUGUUCGACCAUUAAAAUUUUACAUGAUCUGAGUUUAAACCGGCGUGAG